GUGGGGAAUAUUGGACAAUGGGCGAAAGCCUGAUCCAGCCAUGCCGCGUGUGUGAAGAAGGUCUUCGGAUUGUAAAGCACUUUAAGUUGGGAGGAAGGGUAGUAACCUAAUACCUUGCUGUUUUGACGUUACCGACAGAAUAAGCACCGGCUAACUUCGUGCCAGCAGCCGCGGUAAUACGAAGGGUGCAAGCGUUAAUCGGAAUUACUGGGCGUAAAGCGCGCGUAGGUGGUUUUGUAAGUUGGAGGUGAAAUCCCCGGGCUCAACCUGGGAACUGCCUCCAAAACUGCAUGACUAGAGUACGGUAGAGGGUAGUGGAAUUUCCUGUGUAGCGGUGAAAUGCGUAGAUAUAGGAAGGAACACCAGUGGCGAAGGCGACUACCUGGACUGAUACUGACACUGAGGUGCGAAAGCGUGGGGAGCAAACAGGAUUAGAUACCCCGGUAGUCC
rnacentral:rRNA from 1 species